rnacentral:lncRNA from 1 species
AGUAGAGUCGAGAAAUUGGCCAUGAGGGCAGGCAGCCCCAGUGGUCGCAGCCCCUCAUCCCCAGACCUUGCUCGGGAACCAGACUUGUACCCCGCUUGGUGCCUCCUGCCAACAGCACAGGCCUGAGAAUGGAGCAACCUUUCUCACGUGGGACUCAGGCCAUGCCAAGAAAGAUUGCACAGCACAUCCUGGCAGGUUUCGCCACCAAGAGGCGACAGGAAAUGCUAAGAAUGGCUCCACUUAGCUUCCAGGUACUGCAAUUCUGGGAAACGGCUCAGGAAUGAUGACCUGGGGCUGUCUUUCUACACUUACUCCUCUGCUGAGCUUUCUCCAUUUCAUAUGUGGGAGCCACUAGGCCUCCUCUUUUCAAGGGCUAAGAGAAAUUUAAAUCUCUCCCGAUUACUGACCCUGAAAACCACACUGCGUUUCUGGCAGAUGAUGUUAAAAAAGUGUGGUGGAACUCCCUCUGAAAUCAUGGCAACAAGUAGAACAUUUUCUGUCCACAUCCAGAGGGAGAAGCCACAGGAGGAAAUACCUUGAAGCUUGUGGGACGUGCCUGGUGAGGAUAUUCCGUUCAAUGACACAUCUGUCAUCUUUACAUGUUGACCAGCCAACAAGAACUUGCUGAGUACAGGACGGACAAGGUUGGCAUUCCGCUGGCUCUACAGGGGAUCAACGGGAAGGAUGGAGAGAACAGCUUGUGUGCCAGGUGGGGAGACGGACAUGGACCAAUACUGAAUAACCUACAACACAAUGGUUUAGAAAGAGAAUUCAAGGUAUGUGGACUGGACUUAAGCCAUGGCUAAGCUCACAAAAGACUUCCUGGAAGAAGAUGUACAGCCUAUGGUGAGGCACAACCUCCCUGUCUGUACUGCGAGUUCUUGGGUCAAGACACAACUCACCUCUACCUAUCUGUACACUGACAGCAAAGUCCUUUUAAUAUCAAACAGAAAUGAAUGACAAUGAUGGUGACCACAUUUCCCAAACCCACGAACGGUCAGGUUUCUGUGGCGCCUCUCCAUUUGAGAGGCUCUCUGAAAGCCAGUCGUGGAUAGCAUGCUUCCAUGUGUAUGUAAAUAACAAGACAUAUGGAACAUGUUAAAUCGGAAGACUGUUCCAUAUCCAGAAUUACUAAUGUACUAAUAAUCCUUUGAAUCCUCAAAAAAAACAAAAAACACUAUACUUUUAUGCCAAAGUAGAUGGAAUGGGUGACUAGAGAUAAAGCUGAAGAAAUUUCAGAUUUAAAAUCUGACUGGCCCAUUCACCAGCAGACUUAGGAAAGUGCUAACUGCGAAGCUGGCCAGUAUUCAGCUCGACAGUCCUAAAAACAAACGGAACCCUUUGGAGCUGGAAAGUGGUAUCAUAAAAGCCGCCGAAUGCGGUGCUUCUAGAGCGGCCCACCAGGAAAAUAUGACAGUUUACAUCUUUACGUAGCCUAAUGUACAGUGGGAAUAUAAAUAUCUCGUUCAGGCCCCAGUCACUGCCUGGAAUGGGAUGCUUUCCUUAACAAGAAGCAGAUGAGAGGCCCAGAAGCCAAACCUCUUAUUCUGUUGGUCUGAAGGCUGUAGUUUUCAGUCGGUCAGCACAGAGAGUGGCAAUUCAGGGAGGGAAGGCACUGCAUGUGUUUCCUUGGUCAGGACAAAAGCUUGUAGCUCUUUUCCUGGGCCCCCUGAGGCUCUCGUACGUUGAGUGUCCCGCAUGUGGUCAGCGGCUUUACCCACCUUUCCUUGGGCCACCAGCUCCCUCUGGGCUGCUGAGGCCGAUUUGACCAGGGCGCUUGUGGCAGCAGCAAUGGAUUUAGCAGCUUCCAAGAUCUGUUCCUCAAAGUCCAGGGUCUCAUCCGCUUGCUAUAACCAAAAGAAAACAGCAUCACAUUCAAUUCAUAUCCACAAAGGGCUCUUUCUUCCAAACUACUUACUGCCGGGUCACCUGGCUCUUCACCUGCCUAUUGUUUUUUGUUGACAAACCACACCUGAAAUGGGAUGGUUCCUUAACAAGAAGCAGAUGACAGGUCCCCUGUGCAAACUUUCAGGACUCUUAAGUCAGUUUGGUUAAGCCACCCUCGGGUCACAGUGUGGAAGAUGUGGCUGGUACCUUUCAGGCAUUAAGAGACAAUGGCCAGGCACAGCAAUAGUUUUCUUUGUAUGUGUGGUACAAUAUAUAUAACACAAAAUUUACCCUUUUACCUAAUGUUAAGUAUUAAUACACUGACACUGUUGUACAACAGCAAUACCAGGAUAGAAAGGUCAGGAUGCCUCUCCACCUGCAGCCCCUUCCCCCUAACUCCAAAAGGAAAAAGCCGUUAGCUUGACAUCCCACGGAAAUUUGCAGACAGACUCAUUUUCUGGAACAAAAUCUUUAAAGAUAUACACUCACUGUGAACAAAAUACACUCAAAUGGUUUUAGCAACAUCAAUAACUGAAACCAAAAUAAUAAAAUCAAAACAGUAGAUCAUAGCACUUACUCUCUUCUAGAGCCUAAGCCUCAAAAAUGGACUUUAAAAAAAAAAAAAGGAAAGAUGGCUACCAGUUCUGAAAAGUUGUCUUUUUCCUGGGUAAAAAUCAAAGCCAAACAGCACUGGCAUUUCUGUGGCUGAGCACUGAGAGAGUUAUAGACCAAGCACACAUUGCCCAGUGGUGAAAAAGAAACCAGGGCAACACGACAUCAAGGUGGAGCUUGUUCUGUCCUCUGGACACCCGAGGCACGGGAUCCACCUUGGGAAGAACACUGGACACCACUGUGUAGGUGUUAUCAGACCAUUAGGGUUCUGGUCUAAAUUCACCACCAUCUCCUUUGCUGCUAAAACAACUCAGGAAGUUGAAAAGAAGCUUUGGAGAAGUGGAACAAGUAUAAAGACUGUGGUCCCAGGCUCAUGGGUUGGAGCAUCACAGUUUUGCCGGGGGGUGGUCAGAUUAGACCUGUGUGACAACAUUCCGUGACUCUAGGUCAAUUUGGUUAAGCUGCCCUCAGGUCACACAGUGUUGAAGAUGUGGGUGGUACCUUUCAGGCAUUGAGAGAUGAUGGCCAGGCCCAGCAAUACUUUUCUCUGUAUGUGUGGUAAAAUAUAUGUAACACAAAACUUACCCUUUUAUCCAAUUUUAAGUGUACAAUUCAGUGGCAUUACGGACAUUCACACUUUGUGCCAACAGUAGUAGAUUUUUAAGAGUGCCUACUGUGUACCAAGUAUUUUGUUAGGCACUUCUACAUACAAUGACUUAAUUCUCACCAAAAAAAAAAAAAAAGAUCGUAUAUUGGAAUUAUCUUUAUCCUUAUUUUUACAGUGAGAAAACCCAGGCUCAGGAAGGUAGAUGAUUGGGCCAAGGUGAUGUGGCAGCAUGAAGCAUCUAAACCAGAAUCUAAACCUAAAUCUGACUCCAAAAUGAGGCACUUUAACUAGCCAAAGCCACCCCUUGGGGCAUCAGUGAGAAACGGUUUGUGCCAGAGGUUCAAAGUCAGCUUGCUAACGCUCCCAUGUGAAACGUCAGACAGGAGGGAUACAAGUCUUCUCCAGCUCUCCAUUCAUAAUGCCACAUCUUGAACCAUGAAAGGUGCUAAUCCUUUUUCUUUAUAACCUACAUUAUCAAAAUACAAUUUCAAUGCACUUCUAAUGGAUCUGAAUGAUGGUAGCAUUUCAGAAGUUCUGAGACAGACUUGUGCAUUCUUUCUUAUUGCUGACCAAGUCUUGCUCUAAGAGUAUUCAGGACAGACAUGAAUUUAGUUCUACUGGACUCAUUUUGGACUGGUGGAGUAUAGAAUUUGGUGACUGAAAUACGGAAAUGAUCCAUUGUAAGACACUCUCGUAUAAAAGGAACUCUUGUGUAGUCAGUCCCCAAAUAAAUUAUAGUAGGCUCUAAUUUAUAUAUAUUAAAUAUAUAAAUAAUGUAUAUUUUAAUAACCGUGAGAUUAAGAGCUUUUCUGGAAAUUCAUUCUGCCAAAGAAUGUCAGGCACAUAACAGAUUAAAGCACCAGGGAAAUCACAGAAUUUUUGACUCCAAACUCCUCAUCUCAUUUUGCAGAUGAGGAAACGGAGGCUUGUGGGAGCUCUUCAUGGCGGCUCCUGAAGUCUCUCACGCUCUUGCCUCAGGUGUCCUCAGCUACUCUAUGGGUUCCACGCCCGAGUCCACUUUACAGUGUGGAAUACUCUGUCAGACUUUUUAUUUCCCAAAUUUUAAGAUUUUCAAAAAUGGAAUUUCUUUAAAAUUAAGUGCUACGUCUUUAGCAGGGGUAGAUCUGAUAGGAUCAUCUCAUCACAACUGAUUUUACGAGCCUCUCCCACAUCUUCCGCUGCCUGGAGUUUUUUUUUUUUUUAAACACAAGCUUGUAAUAAUAGAUAUUCAACUUGGAAAUAUUUUUGACACCCACAGAUUUUUCUGGUAAUGGCAACUGUUGUAAUGUUCUUUGACGAAUUUUUAUUUUUCUUCCCACAACAUCUCUAUGCUUUAAAACAGAUACGGCAGAAGUUCUUAUCUCUGGGAGACAUUUGCUCUGAUAAGAAAGUAUUAAGAUUCUCCCUAGAAAGGCUGACUGGGAUGGCACAGGGAUGGAGGGCUAAUGUUAGAUACUACAGUUUGGGCAGAGUACCCUGAUGAAACCUGCCUUCUGACUGCUGUGUCCCUAUUUUCCUGUAUGCCAGGUUUAUGACUAAGACGCACUGCCCACCCUACCUCUACUGCUGAAAUCAGACACCAAUACUUAACGUGUCCUCAUACCAUACAACUUCUAGCCUUAGAGAAAAUGGCAUCUCUCCAAGCCAAGGAGACAUGGUCAAAAACCCAGGUGCCCCAUCAGUUCCAGCUCCCAUUAGCAUGCAGAAUGGAAUAGGGGAGAAGGUAGGAAGGACACACACUUAACCAUAUCACAAGAAGGAAACAGAAUUGGCUUGGUCUUCAAAGGACUUUCCUAAAUAAAAGAAUCCCAAUUAAAAUGCAGAAUUUGUUAAUGGAACAGUCCCCACUGCAGCUGAGAGACUGGGGAGACUAAGAAGAACAACAUGGUGCACAGUGACUCCGGGGAAGAAUCUGCAGGCUGGGCCCUCUCCUGGAGCUCUCAUUCUCACCUUCUCACCAGAGAGGCUCACCUGGUUGGUGUCUUAAGGCCCUCUUUAGCUGAGAUGUUACUGACCUGACCAGGGUCAGUCAGAUCUCUCCUUCUGGUUUAUAAAGGGGAUAACGGAAUCCUCGCUUCUGGGUGUUUCAUUCUUUCCACAAUUGGAUCAUGUAAAGACCCGCUAAAAUAAUCUUUUAAAGAUUAUGACUAAUCCUGUGCAUGUGGCUAUUUAUGUUUCUCUAUAACUACUGGCAUCAAGCUAAAGCAAGGAACUUUAGAAAACAAUUUCAUUAAACAGGAUAAAUUGAUAGUCUUUAGCCAUAAAAAAGAGUGAGAUCCUGCCAUUUGCAACCACAUGGCUAGAACUGGAGAUCCUUAUGUUAAGUGAAAUAAGCCAGGCACAGAAAGACAAACAUUGUAUGUUCCCACUUAUUUGUGGGAUCCAGAAAUCAAAACAAUUGAACUCAUGGACAUAGAGAGUAGAAGGAUGGCUCCCAGAGGCUGGGAAGGGUAGUGAGGGGCUGGGAGGUAGGGAUGGUUCAUGGGUACAAAAAAAUAGAAUAAGACCUACUACAUGUGACAGCACAACAGGGUGACUAUGGUCAAUAACUUAAUUGUACAUUUUAAAAUAAUUAGAACAGUGUAAUUGGAUUGUUUGUAACACAAAGGAUAAAUGCUUGAGAGGAUGGAUACCCCAUUCUCCAUGAUGUGCUUAUUUCACAUUGCAUGCCUGAUAUUGUUUGGCUGUGUCCCCACCCAAAUCUCAUCUUGAAUUGUAGCUCCCAUAAUCCCCACAUGUCAUGGGAGGGACCUGGUGGGAGGUAACUGAAUCAUGGGGGCAGGUCUUUCCUGUGCUGUUCUCGUGAUAGUGAGUAAGUUUCAUGAGAUCUGUUGGUUUUAUAAAGGGGAGUUCCCCUACACAAGCCCGCUUGCCUGCCGCCAUAUAAGAUGUAUCUUGCUUCCCCUUCGCUUUCCGCCAUGAUUGUGAGGCCUCCCCAGCCAUGUGGAACUGUGAGUCAAUUAAACCUUUUCUUUAUGUAUCACCCAGUCCUGGGUAUGUCUAUAUUAGUUGUGUGAGAACAAGCUAAUACAAUGCCUGUAACAACACAUCUCAUGUAUUAUAUAUAUAUAAUAUAAUAUAUAUUAUAUAUAUAUACCUACUAUGUACCCUCAAAAACCAAACAGAAAAAAAUUUUAAAGAAAAAUAAAUAAAUAAAUAAAUAAAUGGAUAGCCCUCACUGCAGAAUCACCUGAGGAUCUGGUUAAAGAUGCAGAUGCUGUUUUGGUAGGUCUGGGGUGGGAGUCAGGAAUCUGUAUUUCUUACAGAGGUGGUUACACACUACUCUGUAGGAAAUGCUGGCCUGGACUCAGGAAAACAAACACCAUUUAACUUAAACCUACCAGCCUGUGAUCCCCUCCAGGGUGAGACUGUGUUUUAUUCAACCUAUGUUUCUCUAGCACAAAAUCAGGCAGAGGAGCCCAUGUGAUGAUCAACAUUUGCUGAAUGAAUAUAUCCAUUCAAAAUGCAUUUCCCAAGUUCCAGAGUUCAGCCAGAGCACAACGCACAAGGUAGGAGAAGGAGAAAUACACAGAGUAAGCAUCCACAUCAUUAGCAUCCACUCCUGAGCCCUGGUGGACAGAUGCAUACACAGCUAUGAGCAAGUUCCUGCCCUGUUUGAGGCCUUGAGUUGUUAAUUGUACACUCUACUUGCAGCCUUCAACUGGAAUUCACAGUUUGUGACAUUUAGUCAUGCAUGGACAUACAAAUGUAAACACAGUGGCAUUUUACCAAGAGGCACUCUUAUGUAACAAGACAGCACUGGGAAAAAGAGUGAACAGAUGUACAAACUAAGCUUCUACUCUGCCUAAUGAAGGUGUUUGUUGCUGCCUCUGCAUGCUGAAUUAACUUCUCCUUUGAUAUACUGUUCUUUUCCCCCUUCCCCUUCAUUUGAAAAGGCUAUUUGGCCAGGUGCCCAUCAGCUCUAAGCAAUCGUCUUUCCUGGGCUGUCUGGCCAACUCUUGCUGAGGACAGAUUUAUCCCUACCUGGGCUUUUUGGUAGCUUCUAGAAAGGUCUGAGUACCCUGUAGUUGACCUCUUCCCUGCAUGCUGACCUUCCUUGCUCACCCUUUAAAAAGUCAGUGGUCUGGUGAGAUCCCUCUUGGGAAAGGCUAUAUAUUGGGUUGGCUCCCUUCCCCUGUUUCCCAGUUGGGAGAGUAUUUGGGACCCCUUUAUGUUGCUCUGAUGGGUUUAAAGUUUCAGUAGCUAUAUGUCCCCUGGAAGAGGAAAUGGUGGUGGUAGGGGAAGUGGUGUGGAAAGUGGAGAAGGUAAAAGGGACAGCCUUUCCUCAUGUUUCUUUUGACAUUUGGCCUUUCAUGGAUUCUGAGAACAUGGUCUUCACACUAAUUCAUUCAUCUUCUAAGCCUACUUCCCCUCCUAACCUAUCUGAUGGAGUCAUUACAAGCACGUGAUUAGUAUAUGUAAAGCAUGGCUGACUCAUAGGAGAUGCUCAAAAACUAUUAGCAAUUUCAUUAUCAAAAAUUGUUUUUUUCAGGUUUGGGGCUAAAUUAAUCUGUUUCUCUGUCUAAACCCUGUUAUGUAUCCAUAAUUCCAAUAAAAAUUCUUCUUGCUA